CAUCACAGUGGGGCAUAAUUUAAUUGGUCAUAACUAUUUUUUUUUAAUAAGAACCACUUUAGUUAGAAAGUUGAAAUUUUCUGGAUUAAUAGUCUGAGGUACUCUCUAUCUACCCUGAAAGUUUCGUACCAAUAGGCCUCAUCAGUCAAAAGUUAUUAGAAGUUAAACAUCACAGUGGGGCAUAAUUUAAUUGGUCAUAACUAUUUUUUUUUAAUAAGAACCACUUUAGUUAGAAAGUUGAAAUUUUCUGGAUUAAUAGUCUGAGGUACUCUCUAUCUACCCUGAAAGUUUCGUACCAAUAGGCCUCAUCAGUCAAAAGUUAUUAGAAGUUAAACAUCACAGUGGGGCAUAAUUUAAUUGGUCAUAACUAUUUUUUUUUAAUAAGAACCACUUUAGUUAGAAAGUUGAAAUUUUCUGGAUUAAUAGUCUGAGGUACUCUCUAUCUACCCUGAAAGUUUCGUACCAAUAGGCCUCAUCAGUCAAAAGUUAUUAGAAGUUAAACAUCACAGUGGGGCAUAAUUUAAUUGGUCAUAACUAUUUUUUUUUAAUAAGAACCACUUUAGUUAGAAAGUUGAAAUUUUCUGGAUUAAUAGUCUGAGGUACUCUCUAUCUACCCUGAAAGUUUCGUACCAAUAGGCCUCAUCAGUCAAAAGUUAUUAGAAGUUAAACAUCACAGUGGGGCAUAAUUUAAUUGGUCAUAACUAUUUUUU
rnacentral:lncRNA from 1 species